rnacentral:rRNA from 1 species
GACGUUGUCGGAUAUUGGGCGUAAGAGCUUGUAGGCGGUUUGUCGCGUCUGCUGUGAAAAUUCAGGGCUUAACCCUGGACGUGCAGUGGGUACGGGCAGACUAGAGUAUGGUAGGGGAGACUGGAAUUCCUGGUGUAGCGGUGGAAUGCGCAGAUAUCAGGAGGAACACCGAUGGCGAAGGCAGGUCUCUGGGCCAUUACUGACGCUGAGAAGCGAAAGCAUGGGGAGCGAACAGGAUUAGAUACCCUGGUAGUCCAUGCCGUAAACGUUGGGCGCUAGGCGUGGGUCUCAUUCCACGAGAUCCGUGUCGCAGCUAACGCAUUAAGCGCCCCGCCUGGGGAGUACGGCCGCAAGGCUAAAACUCAAAGAAAUUGACGGA